UUUCACUCUAAAAAUUAUCAACGCAGCCCUGUUUGUCAAGAAAGUUACCGUUUCUCCACCUAUAAGAACUGCGGAAAAUAACCUUUCUUUUUUUCUGAGAACCCCAUGGCUUUAGGAAGAUUACUUAGCUUCAUGGGCUGAAGUGGAUGGAGAGCCUCCUCCAAAGAAAAAAAACCUAAAGUGUGAAUUUGACAUAGAGUCCUCAUUAUCAUUUGAUUAAAUCAACUUUAUUGAUUUGUGCAGAGUUCCAUCACAUCACAAAUGUUAAUCUUCGAAACCAGUUCUAUGCCGAACUGGACAGGCACACACCAUGGCUCUUUGCCUUGUACCGACAAAAGGCGUCACGUACCGGCAAGAUCUCUGAGGUACUGCGUGACGUCCUGAGGAGUUAUGAUCUUCAGGUAAGUUAAAGAUAAACUUUUUUUUAUUUUCAACUCAAGUUCUGACAGGACAGCAUGGUGGCUUAGUGGUUAGCACUGUUGCCUCACAGCAAGAAGGUCCUGGGUUUAAAUCCCAGGUUCCCGGGGCCUUUCUGUGUGGCGUUUGCAUGUUCUACCCAUGUUUUUGUGGGUUUACUUCGGGUACUCCGGUUUCCUCCCACAGCCCAAAAAAGAGUACAUUAGGUUGAUUGGUAAUUCUAAAUUGUCCAUAGGAGUGAGUGUGAGUGUGUGUGGUUGUCUGUCUAUAUGUGGCCCAGCGAUGGACUGGUGACCUGUCCAGGGUGUACCCCUGCCUUUCACCCAAUGUGCUGGGAUAGACUCCAGCAGGUCCCCGUGACCCUAAUUAGGAAAUAAAGCGGGGAAUUGAUAAUGGAUGUAUGGAUGGCUGGAUCAAGUUCUGACAAGGACAGCUAGGACAGGGUUAGAGUCUUUAACGUUCACAAUUAACCCCCACAAUAAAAGACAGGAAUAAAUUGUAUAAACUCAAAAUAACUUUGCUUGUUUAUCGCUAACUUCUGCUUGUCUUUGAAGGAUGUAAGUGAUGUUAACAUAAAGCACACUGUAGUGCUUCGUGCUCUUGCAAUAUACUUGCAUGAGGAUGACCCACAGUUUUUUAAAUAUUGGAAUGUAAGUAUUUAGUGCAUUCACCAAACUUUUAUUUUUCUGUUUUUAUGCUUUCUGGGGUUGUUUAGUUUUUAGCCCAUUAACUCAUCUACACUAUAUUGCCAAAAGUAUUCGCUCACCCAUCCAAAUAAUCAGAAUCAGGUGUUCCAAUCACUUCCAUGGCCACAGGUGUAUAAAAUCAAGCACCUAGGCAUGCAGACUGUUUUUACAAACAUUUGUGAAAGAAUGGGUCGCUCUCAGGAGCUCAGUGAAUUCCAGCGUGGAACUGUGAUAGGAUGCCACCUGUGCAACAAAUCCAGUCGUGAAAUUUCCUCGCUCCUAAAUAUUCCACAGUCAACUGUCAGCUGUAUUAUAAGAACGUGGAAGUGUUUGGGAACGACAGCAACUCAGCCACGAAGUGGUAGGCCACGUAAACUGACGGAGCGGGGUCAGCGGAUGCUGAGGCGCAUAGUGCGAAGAGGUCGCCAACUUUCUGCAGAGUCAAUCGCAACAGACCUCCAAACUUCAUGUGGCCUUCAGAUUAGCU